AUUGAACGCUGGCGGCAUGCUUUACACAUGCAAGUCGAACGGCAGCGCGGGCUUCGGCCUGGCGGCGAGUGGCGAACGGGUGAGUAAUGCAUCGGAACGUGCCCAGUAGUGGGGGAUAGCCCGGCGAAAGCCGGGUUAAUACCGCAUACGACCUGAGGGUGAAAGCGGGGGACCGAAAGGCCUCGCGCUAUUGGAGCGGCCGAUGUCGGAUUAGCUAGUUGGUGGGGUAAAGGCUUACCAAGGCGACGAUCCGUAGCUGGUCUGAGAGGACGACCAGCCACACUGGAACUGAGACACGGCCCAGACUCCUACGGGAGGCAGCAGUGGGGAAUUUUGGACAAUGGGGGCAAGCCUGAUCCAGCCAUGCCGCGUGCGUGAAGAAGGCCUUCGGGUUGUAAACCGCUUUUGUUCGGGAAGAAAUCCUCUAGGCUAAUACCCCGGGGGGAUGACGGUACCGGAAGAAUAAGCACCGGCUAACUACGUG
rnacentral:rRNA from 1 species